AUAUCCUCCAUUUUUUAGAGAGAGGCAGAAAUGAUCCUGUGCCUAAACUUUUUAUCCUUACUAGCACUCCUUGGAGGUGUCCAAUCUGAGGUCCAGUUGGUGGAGUCUGGAGGGGAUGUGAGGAGACCUGGGGAGUCCCUCCGUCUCUCCUGCCAAGCCUCUGGAUUCACCUUCAGCAGCUAUGACAUGCAAUGGGUGAGACAGGCUCCAGGGAAAGGCCUGGAAUGGGUGGCCUACAUUUAUUCCAGUGCUUACUACUCAGACAAAGUGAAGGGACGCUUCACCAUCUCCAGGGACAAUGCCAAAAGCCAGCUGUAUUUGCAAAUGAACAAUCUUAAACCAGAGGACACGGCAAUCUAUUACUGUGCAAGAGACACAGUGAGAGGAAGUGGCUCUGAAGCCUGCCAAAAACUUUCUCUCCUCUGA